GACGAACGCUGGCGGCGUGCUUAACACAUGCAAGUCGAACGGAAAGGCCCUGCUUUUGUUGGGUGCUCGAGUGGCGAACGGGUGAGUAACACGUGAGUAACCUGUCCUUGACUUUGGGAUAACUUCAGGAAACUGGGGCUAAUACCGGAUAGGAGCUCCUGCUGCAUGGUGGGGGUUGGAAAGUUUCGGCGGUUGGGGAUGGUCUCGCGGCUUACCAGCUUGUUUGUGGGGUAGGGGCUUACCAAGGCUUUGACGGGUAGCCGGCCUGAGAGGGUUACCGGCCACAUGGCGCCUGCGGUACGGCCCAGUCUCCUACGGGAGGCAGCAGUGGGGAGUAUUGCACAAUGGGCGGAAGCCUGUUGCGGCAGCGCCGCGUGCGGGAUGACGGCCUACGGGUUGUAAACCGCUUUCGCCUGUGACGAAGCGUGAGUGACGGUAAUGGGUAAGGAAGCACCGGCUAACUACGUG
rnacentral:rRNA from 1 species